rnacentral:rRNA from 1 species
CCUACGGGGCGCAGCAGUGGGGAAUAUUGGGCAAUGGAGGAAACUCUGACCCAGCAACGCCGCGUGAAUGAUGAAGGUCUUCGGAUUGUAAAGUUCUUUUCUAAGGGAAGAAGAAAGUGACGGUACCAAAGGAAUAAGCCCCGGCUAACUACGUGCCAGCAGCCGCGGUAAUACGUAGGGGGCAAGCGUUGUUCGGAAUGACUGGGCGUAAAGGGUGUGUAGGUGGUUUGUGAAGUUAGAUGUGUAAUACCCAGGGCUUAACUCGGGUGCUGCAUCUAAAACUGUUAGACUUGAGUACUGGAGAGGAUAGUGGAAUUCCUAGUGUAGCGGUGGAAUGCGUAGAUAUUAGGAAGAACAUCAGUGGCGAAGGCGACUAUCUGGACAGCAACUGACACUGAGGCACGAAAGCGUGGGGAGCAAACAGGAUUAGAUACCCCUGUAGUC